rnacentral:rRNA from 1 species
GACGAACGCUGGCGGCGUGCCUAAUACAUGCAAGUUGAGCGCUGAAGGUUGGUACUUGUACCAACUGGAUGAGCAGCGAACGGGUGAGUAACGCGUGGGGAAUCUGCCUUUGAGCGGGGGACAACAUUUGGAAACGAAUGCUAAUACCGCAUAAAAACUUUAAACACAAGUUUUAAGUUUGAAAGAUGCAAUUGCAUCACUCAAAGAUGAUCCCGCGUUGUAUUAGCUAGUUGGUGAGGUAAAGGCUCACCAAGGCGAUGAUACAUAGCCGACCUGAGAGGGUGAUCGGCCACAUUGGGACUGAGACACGGCCCAAACUCCUACGGGAGGCAGCAGUAGGGAAUCUUCGGCAAUGGACGAAAGUCCGACCGAGCAACGCCGCGGGAGUGAAGAAGGGUUUCGGAUCGUAAAACUCGGUUGGUAGAGAAGAACGUUGGUGAGAGUGGAAAGCUCAUCAAGUGACGGUAACUACCCAGAAAGGGACGGCUAACUACGUG